GAUGAACGCUGGCGGCGUGCCUAAUACAUGCCAGUCGAGCGAACAGACGAGGAGCUUGCUCCUCUGACGUUAGCGGCGGACGGGUGAGUAACACGUGGAUAACCUACCUAUAAGACUGGGAUAACUUCGGGAAACCGGAGCUAAUACCGGAUAAUAUAUUGAACCGCAUGGUUCAAUAGUGAAAGACGGUUUUGCUGUCACUUAUAGAUGGAUCCGCGCCGCAUUAGCUAGUUGGUAAGGUAACGGCUUACCAAGGCAACGAUGCGUAGCCGACCUGAGAGGGUGAUCGGCCACACUGGAACGGAGACACGGUCCAGACUCCUACGGGAGGCAGCAGUAGGGAAUCGUCCGCAAUGGGCGAAAGCCUGACGGAGCAACGCCGCGUGAGUGAUGAAGGUCUUCGGAUCGUAAAACUCUGUUAUUAGGGAAGAACAAAUGUGUAAGUAACUAUGCACGUCUUGACGGUACCUAAUCAGAAAGCCACGGCUAACUACGUG
rnacentral:rRNA from 1 species